GAUGAACGCUGGCGGCGUGCCUAAUACAUGCAAGUAGAACGCUGAAGCUUGGUGCUUGCACCGAGCGGAUGAGUUGCGAACGGGUGAGUAACGCGUAGGUAACCUGCCUCUUAGCGGGGGAUAACUAUUGGAAACGAUAGCUAAUACCGCAUAAAAGACGAUAUCGCAUGAUAUUGAUUUGAAAGGUGCAAAUGCAUCACUAAGAGAUGGACCUGCGUUGUAUUAGCUAGUUGGUGAGGUAACGGCUCACCAAGGCAACGAUACAUAGCCGACCUGAGAGGGUGAUCGGCCACACUGGGACUGAGACACGGCCCAGACUCCUACUGGAGGCAGCAGUAGGGAAUCUUCGGCAAUGGGGGCAACCCUGACCGAGCAACGCCGCGUGAGUGAAGAAGGUUUUCGGAUCGUAAAGCUCUGUUGUAAGAGAAGAACGAGUGUGAGAGUGGAAAGUUCACACUGUGACGGUAACUUACCAGAAAGGGACGGCUAACUACGUGCCAGCAGCCGCGGUAAUACGUAGGUCCCGAGCGUUAUCCGGAUUUAUUGGGCGUAAAGCGAGCGCAGGCGGUUAGAUAAGUCUGAAGUUAAAGGCUGUGGCUUAACCAUAGUACGCUUUGGAAACUGUUUAACUUGAGUGCAGAAGGGGAGAGUGGAAUUCCAUGUGUAGCGGUGAAAUGCGUAGAUAUAUGGAGGAACACCGGUGGCGAAAGCGGCUCUCUGGUCUGUAACUGACGCUGAGGCUCGAAAGCGUGGGGAGCAAACAGG
rnacentral:rRNA from 1 species